UACAGAGGUCUCAAGCGUUGUUCGGAUUCAUUGGGGCGUAAAGGGUGCGUAGGUGGCAUGGUCAGUCGGAUGUGAAAUCCCGGGGCUCAACCCCGGAACUGCAUUCGAUACUGCCGCGCUAGAGUACUGGAGAGGAGAUUGGAAUUUACGGUGUAGCAGUGAAAUGCGUAGAUAUCGUAAGGAAGACCAGUGGCGAAGGCGGAUCUCUGGACAGUUACUGACACUGAGGCACGAAGGCCAGGGGAGCAAACGGG
rnacentral:rRNA from 1 species